rnacentral:rRNA from 1 species
UACGUAGGGUCCGAGCGUUUGUCCGGAAUUACUGGGCGUAAAGAGCUCGUAGGUGGUUUGUCGCGUUGUUCGUGAAAACUCACAGCUCAACUGUGGGCGUGCGGGCGAUACGGGCAGACUAGAGUACUGCAGGGGAGACUGGAAUUCCUGGUGUAGCGGUGGAAUGCGCAGAUAUCAGGAGGAACACCGGUGGCGAAGGCGGGUCUCUGGGCAGUAACUGACGUGGAGGAGCGAAAGCCGUGGGGGAGCGAAACAGG